GAGUGGGUUGCCAUUUUCUCCUCCAGCGGAUCUUCCUGACCCAGGGAUCAAACCGGAGUCUCUUAGGUCUUCUGCACUGUCAGGUGGGUUAUUUACCACUAGCACCACCUGAACUUCCCUGGGGAGUCCCUGCUAUUUAACGCAAUGGAUGUAUCCAGCCCGUGGCAAUAUGCAGGUGCUUUAGGUUUGCUUGAGUAAAGUGGAUGGGCCUCUCCUCAUUCUUUGGCUUGUAAGAAUGUUCUGGGAGAAGUCUAUUAAAUCCAUGUGACUGGUUGCUCACCCUGUAUGAAAUUUUCAGUUUGCCCAAGAGCUGACAUGUGAAAUAAUCCUACUGACUUUUCAAGCAAUUAAAUAUUUUUCAAGCAAUUAGACGUUGGAGUCUAGAAUGUUCCACAGCACUCAAUGGGGGGGGGGGGGGGGGGGACGGCUCUGCCGCUCCCUGGUGGGAGCUUCUGGUGCAGUUGAGGAAUCACAGCUAACACACGGAACCACCAAGCCCUGUGUUAAGGAAGAAUAGAGAAGGCAGAGAAAGGCACCGGUCUUAGGAGCUGGAGAGAAUUGGAAGGCGAGGAGGGACUUGAGCUGGCAAUGUCACCGGCAAAGCCUAUUAACAAUUACUGGGAAAUAUAAAAAGGAAUCUGAGUAAUGAAAUAAGGUCUAAACUUAAAAAAAAAUCCUUUGUGCUGAGUCUGGUUUCACUUGCUCACAGGGGGCCACAUGCAGAGGCCUCGCACCCAGCCCUUUAGACCAGAGUUUCUGGUGGCAGAUAGCUGUUUCCUAUAACUCAGUUCUGGCCAGGCCUGUGCAGAAGCGCUGAGCACAACGCUCAACUCAAGACGGCGGCGGUGGCAGCAGGCAGUGUGCAGAGUGCUCAGCCCGGCUCUCUGGAAGCUGAGCGGCGCACUUGUGCCAGCCUCGCGAGAACUCCGCCCCCUCUGGCGAGAUCCCUAUAAGGCAGCCGGGCCCACAACCUGUGGGAUGAGCUUGUGCUCUAGAGCCCGAGCUUCUGGCUGUCCAUUCCCUGAUAUAAGAAAGGUUUCCUUUGCGUCUGCACCGCACUAGUUCUCGCUGGCCUGAGAUACCCGGCAGGAGGUGUCUUGUUGGGUUCCAACUGAAAAGGGUCAGUAAUGGUAGGAGGAGGCCAGGCAGUGGGCUAAGAGAACUGAGUAGUGGGAUCCCAUCAUCCUCACAGCAGCUCCGUGGUGGUGGUACCAUUGUUGCCCCCUUUUGCAUGUGAGAAGCCAGCCGUACGGAAGUUAAGUAACUUGCUCCUUGUCACUCAGCGAGUGGAGGUGAAAAACAGUUGUGCAGAAGGCUUUGGUGGCAGUACGAAUGGGCAGCAAAAUGCCAAAUGCAAGUGGCCAGAGGAAGAGCAGCAACCUGGACAUUCAACCUCUGGAAAAAUGAAAAUUCACUAGUCUCCUCUCAUUUCAGAGAGCAGAAGCUGCCUGGUUUCUAAACUUGGAAGUUCUGAGUCUCAAAUGCCAGGUAUCAGCUGAUACUUUUCUGGACAACACAAUGGUGAGGUCACGCUGAGGGGAUUCCGAGGCACACAGAGAAACACCCAAGUAUAUAGCCGAGGAGCAGACUGACCUGUGCUUAGGACAGGACUUUGGCUCAAGGACCCUAUGAGAACCAGGUGCAGUUUGGGAGCUUUCUGCAUCACUCUGAGGCUUGCCUUACCACAGUCCAAGGCCGCCAUACCUUGUGUUCAGCAGCUGUGCUGGGUCUUCACUGCUUCUCGGGCUUUUCUCUGCGGCAAGCGGGGGCUGCUGUCCAGUUGAGUCCAAGCAGAACUGUGGAGGGGAUCUGAAGCUUGAAGGCCUGAGAGGUGAACUGUGUGCGUGUUACAUCUGGUGCUGUCUGUGUGGAAUCAUUCCAGAACAAGGACCGCAGCUGGACUGAGAUACCAGCCUGCAGAAAGUGAGGAAAUGACCCUCUGGAAAUGAGGGGACAGACUCCUGUGCCCUUCUCAGCCAGCGCUGGUGGGGGAGGGUUUGUGGCAAAGCGGGGAGGGUGUGUUUCAUCACAUCACAGUCCCCAGGGGGGUUGCAGAACAGUUGGAGAUGGUGACUGGGAAGUGCUAAUUAUAAAAUUAUAUAUUAAACAUUAGCCAAGGGGAAAUUGUAAAAGUGGCUUAUAUAGAAGACAGAGGGUUCCCUGAAGCUGGAGAGUUCAUGCCUCUGCCCAAAGAAGGGGUGAACUGUGGAGAAAAGAUGUUCCAUUUAACUCCCUGCUGUCCUAUGGGGCAAGGGCUGAGAAUCUAGAGAAUCCCUGGGGUCUAGGGUCUGAUCACCCCUUCCCCACCCUCCCACCAGCAACCCUCUCUCUUUUCUUGGCCUGGGAGGAAACUAUCAGCCUCCAAGUCUGCUCUCUGAAACUCUGAAAUCAUGCAGUCUAACACCUUGAGCCUCCAGUCCUACAAAAUGUUAUUUUUAACAGUUGCAUCCUUACUGUGUGCUAGAAUCUUUAUGUAAUUGUUUCUAAUCCUUUCAACAACCCUUUACAGUAGUUAUUAUCACCUCCAUUUUCCGGGGGCCAUUCUUGGUGAGGACACAGAGGCUUAGCUUCUCUAAGUGCAUGGCUGAGUCAGGAUUUGAACCCAGGUCUGUCUCCCCAGUAUUGAAUGAGCUCAGGAUGCCAGGAGUGAGGAACCCUCCGGGAAGGGCCAUGCCUGGCACUGACUAUCACCCCCAGUGGCCCAACUUCAUAAGCAUACACCAUGUGCUGGAUUUCAGGAAAUUUCACUGGGGAUGUGGAAUCAGCAGCCCAUGACUCAUCGGGCUGAAUUCAGGGGAGGCUGCCUGGUGGGACUGCUGCAGCCCGUUUCCAGGACCCAAGGUCUGGGAAGAGUGAAGAGGAGGGGCAUAAAGAGUUGUGACCAGCACACCUGCACUCCUGAUGUUGAAAACUCAUGAGGAUGUGCUGUCAGUGUUGGCCUGCAGCUACAUUUCUGGCUUAAACUUUGGGUGGCUUUACUAAGCCUUGAAAGUGGAAAGAACACAUCAUAUUGAGAGUCUGACAGUGAGUGAGGUCCAGGGUGCUAGCUGGCCCGUUGCCAUGGACUUGACCCGUGAAGAGGAGCAGAGAAGCGUUUUCAUUAGCAUCAAAGUCUGUCAUGUGCUCCGGGCAACCUACAGAGGGAAGGGUAGCCGGGCCUCAGCCCCACUCCCGGGAUGCAGAAUCACAGAGAUGCCCAGGCCCACAUAGACACUGUAACGACCUACCACGUUGAUUAAAUAGAUCUGCCGUGAACUAUUUUUAAAAGUGCAAGCAAUGGGGCAAGAGCAUUUUGCAUGUUGGAAACAUUUUAAGAAGUUAGCAUUCCCCAGAAAAAAUAAAGGAAGGAAAAAGAAAAGUCAGUUCUCAUGGUAGGUGUUGAGAAAAGGGAGUUGAGAAGGACUCCGUCACACUAUUAGGUCAUAACACUGCUAUUUUCUUGUUUUACCUCCACUGUUGCCCUCCUCUGCUGCAUUCCCUUUUGUUCUCUGGCUUUUCUGCAUUAUCCCUCUCCCCGGGUUAUCUCCUGUCAUUUUCCUCUCCCUGCUUCCCAGCACUUGAGUAGCUCCUACGUGUCCUUCACAGUGCGGCUCAGUUUCUUUCUGGGAUGUCUUCCCUGCCCACCUGAGCUUAGGUAGGAGCCAUUCCUGUGCAUCCUGUGGAUUCUUCCAGCCGAACACUCAUCACUUUGUUUUGUUAGCUCCUCCAAAGCAGGGACUGAAUUACUGUUCCUGGCUCUUUGUGUGCUAGGCUUCAGGGAUAUAUAAGAACCAGAAAGUAAGAACAUCCAGCUAUAGACUAGACACAAAUGUCCCACUGGCUCCUUCCGUGGUUUCCUUGUCCCUUCAACCAUCUUUGAUUCUUCUUUUCUCCACUUCCUUUAUUCAAUCACCCACAAAGUCCUGUCCAUUUAAAUAACCGUAAAAUGAAGCUCUUAAUAUAUGUUCAGUUCAGUUCAGUUGCUCAGUUGUGUCCAACUCUUUGAGACCCCAUGGACUGCGGCACGCCAGGCCUCCCUGUCCAUCACCAACUCCCGGAG